rnacentral:rRNA from 1 species
AACGAACGCUGGCGGCGUGCCUAACACAUGCAAGUCGAGCGGAGAUUUCCGGAGUACUUGUACAAAGGAGAUCUUAGCGGCGGACGGGUGAGUAACACGUGAGCAAUCUGCCUUUCACAGGGGAAUAACACUGGGAAACCAGUGCUAAUACCGCAUGAUGUCCAUGCCUGGCAUCGGGGAUGGACCAAAGGAGUAAUCCGGUGAAAGAUGAGCUCGCGUCCGAUUAGGUAGUUGGUGGGGUAACGGCCCACCAAGCCUACGAUCGGUAGCCGGACUGAGAGGUUGAACGGCCACAUUGGGACUGAGACACGGCCCAGACUCCUACGGGAGGCAGCAGUGGGGAAUAUUGGGCAAUGGGGGAAACCCUGACCCAGCAACGCCGCGUGAAGGAUGAAGGCUUUCGGGUUGUAAACUUCUCUGAUCAGGGACGAAACAAUGACGGUACCUGAGGAACAAGCCACGGCUAACUACGUGCCAGCAGCCGCGGUAACAC